rnacentral:rRNA from 1 species
UACGUAGGGGGCAAGCGUUGUCCGGAUUUAUUGGGCGUAAAGAGCGUGUAGGCGGCCAUACAGGUCAGCUGUGAAAACUCGAGGCUCAACCUCGAGACGUCGGUUGAAACCGUAUGGCUAGAGCCCGGAAGAGGAGAGUGGAAUUCCCGGUGUAGCGGUGAAAUGCGCAGAUAUCGGGAAGAACACCCGUGGCGAAGGCGGCUCUCUGGGACGGUACUGACGCUGAGACGCGAAAGCGUGGGGAGCGAUCCGG